UACAGAGGUCCCAAGCGUUGUUCGGAUUCAUUGGGCGUAAAGGGUGCGUAGGCGGCGCGGUAAGUCGGGUGUGAAAUCUCGGAGCUUAACUCCGAAACUGCAUUCGAUACUGCCGUGCUUGAGGACUGGAGAGGAGACUGGAAUUUACGGUGUAGCGGUGAAAUGCGUAGAUAUCGUAAGGAAGACCAGUGGCGAAGGCGGGUCUCUGGACAGUUCCUGACGCUGAGGCACGAAAGCGUGGGGAGCAAACAGA
rnacentral:rRNA from 1 species